rnacentral:lncRNA from 1 species
AAUCGUGCCCUCUGCAAGUAUAUAAGUCGAAGAAACGUAUCAGCAUUGAAACAGUUUCAGAUUUUGACGCGAAGCCUGAGUAUCUAAACAUAUCGGUGCAAGUAUUUUUUUGAAUUACCAAGUGCUAAUAAGGAUAACAUAUUUAGUUCAUCAUGUCGACACCGACAAGACUAGUGUACAUAUUUCUGCUGUACUUUGUUGUGAAUGUUUAUAAUACGGAAGGAAAAGUUGCAGUGUACCAGAAACAUUGGAGCUUCCCGAAAAACUCUAACGUGUCCUAUUUUGACUUUGCGCAUAACCGCACGGAGAUUACUUACGCAGCCAUGACUCCACCUUGGGAAACGUGACCAAAAUAAAGUGUACAAUUGUUCAAGAAUUAGAGCCUCGAAGAGUAUGCUCAAUAACCCAGCAGCUAACACGUAAUAAUAGAACUUGUGAUACUAUUAUCAAUCCAUACAAAAUUGUUCCAUUAAGCUCGACAAAAUCAUUAAUCGUAUGGAUCGAUAUGAAUUUCCAUCCAACUGAUUUUGCUAAUCCACGUGUCUCCGUUUUGGAUUUUACUAUUUGUCAUCUUAGUGAAGAACUGGCCUUAAAACCCAAUUUUACAUCUAUAUAUAUGGAAUCCGCGUCAUAGAUUACGGCGAUUCUUUGGAUUUUGUGAUGAGAUGUGGGAAGAUGAACUUAAAGAUUCAAAAUUACUGCAAAUACAAAAUCAACGAUAAAGGUGAAAUAGUUUCGAAUAUGUAUCAUCUGAUAUGUAUGUCGCAAAUAGCUAUGGAAUGGUCACUGAUUCAAAGCUUAAGGCCUACGUGUACAACAUGUUUGGUAACCGUCGGUCAGCUGGCUCAAGAGGCAAUACUACAGUUAUACAAACAACUACUUAUCGAAGUGUCUUAAAAAAGUCAGACGGCUCAAGCAAACUCUUAGUGGACACUAAGAUAAAGUAUAGAGAACUGCACCAUUAUAGUUACACAAGUGAAUCAACUGCUCACGAAACUAUCCGCAUCGCGUUAAACAACGACACUCACAUCAAUGUCUGGCAGUUUGACCAGGAGGGAAAUUUGAAAUCAACCACAUCAAUUUUGUACAAAAUCGACUUAGAAAAAUUCACAAUUAGUAAUCUGGCUGAUGGUGGUUUUCUUCUGUUGACUAUGAACUGCGAUGAAAAAUGUAAUGAUAAGGAAAGCUCCUGAAAAUUUUAUUCGACUAAAUUUGCCGCGAACGGUAAAUUGAUUGGAUCCAUAGAAAGUGCAGGAGACGAAUCCGGCUGCAAACCAGAUUACUCUUAUUUGCAACUAUUUCAGAAAAAAGAAAACGAGUAUUGUACGGUAGUUGAGUGCACAAAAUACUAUUGGGUUACUCAAUAUGUAGAUCUUGUCACGAAAUGUUACACCGACGAUGAUUUUUCACUUGAUAGAACAUUAUUUUGAUUACUCAUUUUCUUAUUCUUGCUGUAAUUACACUGCAAUCAAUAAAAAAUGAUAUGGAUGAAAUAAAUACACCUAUGCACGAAGCUAUUUUAUUUGAGUACUAAUCCGACCUUCAAAUUUGAAAGACAUUUAUCCAUAUAUAAUCUAUAAUAUUAUAACAAUUCGAUUGCUGCCGACAGCAACUGUCUUAUACGAAUUGCAAUCGUAGAGCUUUCGCAAUGCUCAUUUCUUUUAUCAUCUUUAGAAUAAACCUGACCUCUGCUACUGUAAAAAAAUCAAACAAAAAUAUCGGCGUUCGAACUACAUCAAAUUUCGCAUAAAAAGCUUUGAAACUUAACGUAACUUAGUGUGCAACUUCAUUAGGAACGCAAAGUUUCUUGUAUAGCUCAGAAUAGCUUUCUUGUAUAUUUCAUAAUUUAUCAUGUUAACUUCAAAGACACUAUUAUUGCUCGCAUUUUUCAAUAUUCUUUUGGGAAUCAGCAAUGCUGAAAGGGAUAUCGUGUACAAAAAGCAGUGGAGCUUUCCACGUCGAUCUGAAGUGUUUGUCUAAAUGAACCGUACCGACAACCACUACAAUAAUUUUGUUUACAUUCAGUGCGGUGAAUUCGCAUACAAGCCCGAAAGAAACUGCACAGUUGCCCAGUAUUUAGAAUCUGAAAAAUCUUGCCCCGUGAGUCUAAGAACAUACAGUGAAACGAUCGUCGGAAAACCCUUGGCAAUUUCCUCGUUUGGCACAACAAAAGCUGUAAUCGUGUGGGGCCAAAUAGAAUUGUCUUCAGUGCAUAAAAAACUUUAUCAGUACAUCAAUUGCACUGUAGUGGAUUUUACUAGUUAUCAAACUAAGGACCUGGUUCUGCAACCCGUGAAUAAUCAUCGUACCGCUAUUGAAACAAUGCGUUUUGUGGAUUAAGGUGACUCUUUUGAUAUUUUGAUAAACUGUAACAAAGACGCCUACUGCAAGUACAAUAUUGAUGCAAGUGGAACCAUUGCUUCCAAGCUGGAUCCAUGGAUGUCUGCACUUUCUUCAGACUUACUGCACUUACAUCCCAUAGUAUCUGAUUCGAAGACCAAAGCUUACUUGCAGACAAUCCCGAUUGAAGACUCAAACCUUCAAAUAAAGCUGUUGAAUCCUGAUGGUUCUUCGAAUAAACUAUUGAAGGAAAUCCCAAUUGGCGCUGAUAAUAAUUCAUGAUAAACUGUUCAUGAAACGAUUAGCGUUGCAAUCAGUAAGGAUACUCGCGUCAACGUCUGGCUGUUCGAUCAAGAAGGCAAUCUCAAAUACUUGGAUCGAAUAUCAUAUCCCCGUAAAACAUUUAGGAAUACAUAAUGUAGCUGAUCAUGAAUUCCUUUUAUUGACUGUGGGUUGCGUUAAAAGUUGCUAUGAAGUAGACAGGCUGAACAGGAAAUUAAAUAUUAUUUAACAAAAGCAGCUGCUGAUGGAAGAAUCAUCGGAACAAUAGAAAACGCACUACCUGAUGUAACUCGCAAUCCAGGACUGUUAAGAAAUGUUAAGUUGUUUGAAGACGAAGAAUACAUUGUGUAAACGUCGAAUAUUAUUAUCCACACGAAGAUCCCACAACAUAUUUGCAAACCACUGAGGUAGAAAAGCACGUUGUGUGCUUCAAGGACAUAGAUUUUUUAAUGUAACUUUUUCUACGUUUUUUGAU